rnacentral:rRNA from 1 species
AUUGAACGCUGGCGGCAGGCCUAACACAUGCAAGUCGAGCGAGCGGCGGACGGGUGAGUAAUGUAUGGGGACUGCCCGAUAGAGGGGGAUAACUACUGGAAACGGUGGCUAAUACCGCAUACUAUCGGAUAACCCAUAUGGGAUUAGCUAGUAGGUAAGGUAAUGGCUUACCUAGGCGACGAUCCCUAGCUGUUCUGAGAGGAUGAUCAGGCACACGGGGACUGAGACACGACACAGACUACUAGGGAGGCAGAAGUGGGGAAUAUUGCACAAUGGGCGGAAGCGUGAUGAAGCCAUGGCGCGUGUAUGAAGAAGGCCCUAGGGUUGGAAAGUACUUUCAGUCGGGAGGCGUUAACGACAGAAGAAGCACCGGCUAACUCCGUGCCAGCAGCCGCGGUAAUU